GCUUCCCACACGCUGAUGUUCUUUAUCACAGCGGCGGCUGGUGCAGCAUGGGUCAUUAGUUUAAGAGUGGAAGAAAGGAAAGAAGCACCAUGCAAAAGUUUGGGCACCCCAAGAGAUUUGAGCUCUCAGAAUUUAAAAGAUUAGCAAAAUUUUCUCGAAAAAGAUUCUUGAAGUUCCUUGU